GACGAACGCUGGCGGCGUGCUUAACACAUGCAAGUCGAACGGGCCCGCCCCUGUUUUUGGGGGUGGGUUGAGUGGCGAACGGGUGAGUAUCACGUGAGUAACCUGCCCCCUGCUCCUGGAUAACUGCUUGAAAGGGCGGCUAAUACGGGGUGUGCCGGCUGGUCCGCAUGGGCCUGGUCGGGGUAGUUUCAUCUUCGGGUGGUUCGGUGGGGGAUGGGCUCGCGGCCUAUGAGCUUGUUGGUGGGGUGAUUGCCCACCAAGGCGGUGACGGGUCGCCGGCCUGAGAGGGUGGGCGGCCAAACGGGGACGGGGACACGGCCCAGACGCCUGCGGGAGGCAGCAGUGGGGGGUAUUGCACAAGGGGCGGAAGCCUGAUGCAGCGGCGUCGCGUGAGGGAUGGGGGCCUUCGGGUUGGGAACCUCUUUCUCCGGUGGUGAAGGCCCUGUCCGUUGCGGCGGGGUUGACGGUAGCCGGGUAUGAAGCGCCGGCUAACUACGUG
rnacentral:rRNA from 1 species